rnacentral:rRNA from 1 species
AGUGAACGCUGGCGGUAGGCCUAACACAUGCAAGUCGAACGGCAGCACAGGAGAGCUUGCUCUCUGGGUGGCGAGUGGCGGACGGGUGAGGAAUACAUCGGAAUCUACUCUGUCGUGUGGGAUAACGUAGGGAAACUUACGCUAAUACCGCAUACGACCUACGGGUGAAAGCAGGGGACCUUCGGGCCUUGCGCGAUUGAAUGGGCCGAUGUCGGAUUAGCUAGUUGGCGGGGUAAAGGCCCACCAAGGCGACGAUCCGUAGCUGGUCUGAGAGGAUGAUCAGCCACACUGGAACUGAGACACGGUCCAGACUCCUACGGGAGGCAGCAGUGGGGAAUAUUGGACAAUGGGCGCAAGCCUGAUCCAGCCAUACCGCGUGGGUGAAGAAGGCCUUCGGGUUGUAAAGCCCUUUUGUUGGGAAAGAAAUCCAGCUGGCUAAUACCCGGUUGGGAUGACGGUACCCAAAGAAUAAGCACCGGCUAACUUCGUGCCAGCCGCCGCGGUAA